rnacentral:sRNA from 1 species
ACCCUCAGCUUCACCAGCGCCGAGGACGACGAGGACGACGAGGACGAGGACGACGAGGAGGCUGGCCCUGACCCGCUGCCCCUCGGGGACGGGACGUCAGGAGAAGACGCAGAACGGAGCCCCCCACCUGAUGGGCAGCGGGGCAGUCAGCUCCUGGCACGGCAGCUGCAGGAUUUCUGGAAGAAGUCCCGGAACACCUUGGCACCCCAGCGGCUGCUCUUCGAAGUGACCAGCGCUAACGUUGUCAAGGACCCGCCCUCCAAGUACGUGAGACAGGGUCUUGCCAUGUUGCCCAGGCUGGUCUCGAACUCCUGGCCUUAAGCAGUUCUCCUGCCUCAGCCUCCCAAAGUACUGGGAUUACAGACAAACCUCAGCUCUACACCCUCGCCGUGAUAGGCCCAGGGCCGCCAGAUUGCCAGCCAGCCCAGAUCUCUCGCCGUUACUCGGACUUUGAGCGGCUGCACCGAAACCUGCAGCGGCAAUUCCGGGGCCCAAUGGCUGCCAUCUCCUUCCCCCGUAAGCGGCUGCGCCGGAAUUUUACUGCAGAGACCAUUGCCCGCCGUAGCCGGGCCUUUGAGCAGUUUUUGGGUCACCUGCAGGCAGUGCCUGAGCUGCGCCAUGCCCCGGACCUGCAGGACUUCUUCGUGCUGCCGGAGCUGCGGCAGGCACAGAGCCUCACCUGUACUGGCCUCUAUCGUGAGGCUCUGGCACUCUGGGCCAAUGCCUGGCAGCUGCAAGCCCAGCUGGGCACCCCCUCUGGCCCAGACCGCCCCCUGCUGACCCUGGCUGGGCUGGCCGUGUGCCACCAGGAGCUGGAAGACCCUGGGGAGGCCCGGGCAUGCUGUGAGAAGGCCCUGCAGCUGCUUGGGGACAAGAGCCUCCACCCUUUGCUGGCACCCUUUCUGGA